rnacentral:rRNA from 1 species
CCUACGGGGGGCAGCAGUGAGGAAUAUUGGUCAAUGGGCGAGAGCCUGAACCAGCCAAGUCGCGUGAAGGAUGACGGCCCUACGGGUUGUAAACUUCUUUUGUCAGGGAGCAAUUGGGUCCACGCGUGGGCUUAGCGAGAGUACCUGAAGAAAAAGCAUCGGCUAACACCGUGCCAGCAGCCGCGUUAAUCCGGAGGAUGCGAGCGUUAUCCGGAUUUAUCGGGUUGAAAGGGUGCGUAGGCGGAAAAUCAAGUCAGCGGGAAAAAUUCGGGGCUCAACCCCGUCGUGCCGUUGAAACUGAUGUUCUUGAGUGGGCGAGAAGUAUGCGGAAUGCGUGGUGUAGCGGUGAAAUGCAUAGAUAUCACGCAGAACUCCGAUUGCGAAGGCAGCAUACCGGCGCCCAACUGACGCUGAAGCACGAAAGCGUGGGUAUCGAACAGGAUUAGAUACCCUUGUAGUC